CGAUGCCGCGUGAAUGAAGAAGGCCUUAGGGUUGUAAAGUUCUUUCACCCGUGACGAUAAUGACGGUAGCGGGAGAAGAAGCCCCGGCUAACUCCGUGC
rnacentral:rRNA from 1 species